rnacentral:rRNA from 1 species
UACGGAGGAUGCGAGCGUUAUCCGGAUUCAUUGGGUUUAAAGGGUGCGCAGGCGGUGUGUCAAGUCAGCGGUAAAAUGUCGGGGCUCAACCCCGGCCGGCCGUUGAAACUGGCGUGCUCGAGUUGGAGAGAAGUAUGCGGAAUUCGUGGUGUAGCGGUGAAAUGCAUAGAUAUCACGAAGAACCCCGAUUGCGAAGGCAGCAUACCGGCUCCACACUGACGCUGAGGCACGAAAGCGUGGGUAUCGAACAGG